GGCCUCAGGUGAUGGAGAAGUGACCGGGGAAGACUGUGACCGAAGUGGGAUGUAUUCGUACUGGCUGAUGGGGCC
ensembl:snoRNA